rnacentral:rRNA from 1 species
GGUUAAGCGACUAAGCGUACACGGUGGAUGCCCUGGCAGUCAGAGGCGAUGAAGGACGUGCUAAUCUGCGAUAAGCGUCGGUAAGGUGAUAUGAACCGUUAUAACCGGCGAUUUCCGAAUGGGGAAACCCAGUGUGAUUCGUCACACUAUCAUUAACUGAAUCCAUAGGUUAAUGAGGCGAACCGGGGGAACUGAAACAUCUAAGUACCCCGAGGAAAAGAAAUCAACCGAGAUUCCCCCAGUAGCGGCGAGCGAACGGGGAGCAGCCCAGAGCCUGAAUCAGUGUGUGUGUUAGUGGAAGCGUCUGGAAAGGCGCGCGAUACAGGGUGACAGCCCCGUACACAAAAAUGCACAUACUGUGAGCUCGAUGAGUAGGGCGGGACACGUGGUAUCCUGUCUGAAUAUGGGGGGACCAUCCUCCAAGGCUAAAUACUCCUGACUGACCGAUAGUGAACCAGUACCGUGAGGGAAAGGCGAAAAGAACCCCGGCGAGGGGAGUGAAAAAGAACCUGAAACCGUGUACGUACAAGCAGUGGGAGCCUCUUUAUGGGGUGACUGCGUACCUUUUGUAUAAUGGGUCAGCGACUUAUAUUCUGUAGCAAGGUUAACCGAAUAGGGGAGCCGAAGGGAAACCGAGUCUUAACUGGGCGUUAAGUUGCAGGGUAUAGACCCGAAACCCGGUGAUCUAGCCAUGGGCAGGUUGAAGGUUGGGUAACACUAACUGGAGGACCGAACCGACUAAUGUUGAAAAAUU